CCCUGCUCGGCUACUCCUAAACAAGCAGACUCAAACCAUAAUUGAAUCCAAUUCCUUUCGUCUCGUUAGCAAACACAUUUCUUCAACAAUGUCUAACGCAACUUUCAUAACUCGUUUUUUGGCACCAACAACAAGACAUAACUAGUCAAUAAACUAACAAAUCAAAGACAAGAAGACAAAGCAAAGAACACGUUUGUUUCCACCAUCAAACAAACAAAGCACAAAAACAUUUCAACUUCUCUAAUACGAACCUCUUUCAAUAUUAAGAAAAGUUAAUAGAAGAAAAAAAUCAAAAUGAGAAUUUUCCCAAACAACUUCUUUACUAAAGCCCGCAACCUCAUUGCCAUAGGCCUUGCUUCCUCAACUUCCGCCGCCGCCGCCGCCGUCACUUCCACCUCUUCUUCCGAUACCGACUCUUCCUGCUAUAUUUCUUCCGAUACCGACUCUUCCGACCUACUCGUUGGCCGCAAGUUACUUAAAACGAAGCUAUGUAUAAUCGGAAGCGGUCCAGCGGCUCACACAGCCGCUAUUUACGCCGCUCGAGCCGAACUUAAGCCGAUCCUAUUCGAAGGCUGGAUGGCAAACGACACUGCUCCAGGCGGUCAGCUCACCACCACAACUGACGUCGAGAAUUUCCCGGGAUUUCCGGACGGCAUCCUCGGCGCCGAACUUAUGGACAGCUGCCGCAAACAAUCGCAGCGUUUCGGCACCGAAAUCAUCACCGAAACAGUUACAAAGGUGGAUUUCUCAAAGCAUCCAUUCAAGGUAAUAACUGAUUCCACCACGGUGGAGGCAGAAUCGGUCAUAGUUGCUACCGGAGCCGUUGCAAAACGGUUAGUCUUUGACGGCUCCGGCAACACUCCAGACGGAUUCUGGAACCGUGGAAUAUCAGCUUGCGCCGUGUGUGACGGUGCAGCUCCGAUAUUCCGAAACAAGCCGCUGGCUGUUGUAGGUGGCGGCGACACAGCGAUGGAGGAAGCUACAUUCCUCAGCAAAUUUGGUUCAAAAGUUUAUAUAAUUCAUAGGAGGGAGAGUUUUAGGGCUAGUAAGAUGAUGCAGGGUAAGGUGAUGAAGAAUCCAAAGGUUGAAGUGUUGUGGAAUUCAGUGGUGGUUGGUGCAUAUGGAGAUGAAAAGGGCAGGGUUAUUGGGGGACUCAAAGUGAAGAAUUUGGUGAAUGGUGAUGUUUUUGAUUUGAAGGUUUCUGGUUUGUUUUUUGCAAUUGGACAUGAACCUGCUACUAAGUUUUUGGAGGGUCAAAUUGAAUUGGAUUGUGAUGGUUACAUUGUGACAAAGCCAGGUACUACAAUGACUAGUAUUGAAGGAGUUUUUGCUGCUGGUGAUGUUCAGGAUAAGAAAUAUAGACAAGCUAUUACUGCUGCUGGCACUGUGGCGACCUUGUCGUGAAACUGCGAUCUGGACUAGUUUUUCAUGAUAAAGAUGGUGUAGAAUAACAGUAUUUUGUGUACAGAAAUCAAUCAUGGGCCUUCUUUCGAAGCAUAAGUUAUUUGAUUAGCAUGCUCAUCUGAUUAAGCAAAUGGGUGUAUGGCAGCCUUGGAUGCAGAACAUUACUUGCAAAGGAUUGGUUCAAAGGAGGGUAAGAGUAAUUGACUCCACAGGUUAUAUUCCAGAAGAUGGUGAUUCAUUAGAAGCCAUAUUUAAUAUCAAAUGGUAAAAAGCACUUUCUGCACCCCCAGCUAACAUCUUAGUGUAUACAUUGUUGUUCAUUAUUUGAUUGUGGAGGAAUUUAGACUUGCAUUAUUUAUUUUAUGUGAUAUUGUUUUCUGCUAUGAAUUGGUGAUGAAUAUAUUAGGAGCAGUAAAUAAAGAACCAUGUACAUACUUGGAGAA